GAAAUACCAAAUUCAACUACGUAGGGCUGCCUUGGAUUUAAUGAGGCCGUGGUGGUUUAGAGUUGGAAUAACAUUGCUGCUGCCGCGUUAGCCACUGAAGUUUGGACGCAGAACCCCCAUAGGUGAUCCGUUCUUUAGGCUUGACCUUGAAGGAUAUUGAGGCCAUGGUCGUGGUGGUUGACUUCUCUGUCCUGCAGUUUCCCUACAAAGAUGGAUUACUUCAACGAAUGGAACUGGCAGCUCUUGCUGUGAAAGUGGAAUCUAUCCCCAGCUUGUCUCCAAGGUGGCUACCUCCAAGGGGUCCUAAUUGCUGGCCUCUUAAGUCUAAUGCGGUUUUCUACUUCUAUGUCAAUUCCUGUGGAACAACUAGGGUCAGUUGCAGAUUUAAAAUGCUGCCCCUAACUCCAUAGUGUUCAUGGUGACCUGUAUUUGCAUUGGCUGAACUACUUGAAUGAAAUGUAUAAAUUGUGGUCUGAAAUGCCACUAUCAUUAAACUGCUUGUCCAGUUGACAGAGGUGAUGCUUGUGCUGCCUAUUGGCCUUUUUAUGAUUUGUCUUCUCGUUUGACAAUAACCUCCAGACUUAUGAGACUGACAUGCUGUUCACAUCUUACUGGUAAGACUUGCAUCAAAUUGAGUCCUGAUUUGAGCAUGAAACCCUAGCACCAUCUCCUCUAUCCAGGUUGAGCGUUGCCUGUCGCUAUCUGGUCAAUGACACCAAGGUAGUAGUUCUUGUACCGGAAUAAUCAUACACCUGUAGUCCAGCCUGGCUUGGGGGAACUUGUGGUCAUCUUGCGGCUUGCAUUGGGGUAUGACUUAAAUUGUAAGUCUUAGAUGCUGUAGUGUAUUCGCCUGUAAAUUCUUCCUUCUGUCUCUGCAGCUUCAACCUAUGGUGCUCGGGAUUACCCUGUUUGUGAAUUAUAAGGACACCAUUGUAUUUUGAUAGGACUCCUGUACAGCAGGGAUCCACAGGCUGAAUUGUUUUUGGAGAACUGCUGGGCAACCUAUUCUGCUGACUGGAAUAGCUCAAAUAGCUUUGUGGGUGAUGUGGUCCUGACUAUCCUUUCUAGCUGUGAACUUGGCAGAUGAGUACUUUAACAUCUUUUCACCUAGUCUCAAGCAAAGCAAGAGUGCUGUUCCCUUCUCGUCCUGAAGGUUAUGAAAUGAAAAUUGUUUUUUUCUUCACGCGGCCAGGAUGCACUGAAAGGACAAGUAAAGUGGAGUGUUGGUCUGGGAUCUUGUACCACAAUACAUGGUUUGCUAUGGAAGAAUUCAUUGUCCAAAUCUUAACAGAUGUUUAUUCCAACUUUAAAAAAAAAAAAAAAAAAAACUGAUAAAUAGAGGUUUUCAAUUUAGUAAUUGCAAAGUUUUCAUCUUCGGAUGAUGGUACUGCCUAAUCCUAUGGAAGCUAAUUUUGCUUGACUAAUUUCAGGAGCUGUGUGGUCCAGUGGUUAAAGAAAAGGGGCUUGUAACCAGGAGGUCCCCCAGUUCAAAUCCCAUCUCAGCCACUGACUCAUUGUGUGACCCUGAGCAAGUCACUUAACCGCCUUGUGCUCCCUCUUUCGGGUUGCAGUGCUGAAAGAAUGGAUGGAGAAGUAAAGGCACUUGUCGUCUGGCCCAAUUGAACUAAAGAGAAGUGGAUCCCUUGGCUUUAUGCCUAGCAGUGGCGAUAUAAUUAUUUAUUUUUUUUGCAUCAUGUGAAUACAAUUGUAGUUCAACUCCUACCUACCAAUUGUUUCUUUUUUAGUGUAACUGUAUUCCCCUAACCUUUCAUUUUUAUUCUGUGGCAGCCUAAGUCAAUCUGUGGUCUUCUCUAGGAGCCGCAAUGGGUGUAUGUACACAUCUAAUAUUUAGGCUUAAUGGCCCUGUUAACUAUAUUUCUCUUGCCUUACUCGCAUGUGCUCUUUUCAAGAUUUGGUAGUUCCUGCUCAGGUUUUUAGUUAAACUUGGACAUGAAAUCAUUCCAGUGAUUUUGUUUUUCCUGAAUUGGUUCUCCCUUUCAGCUCUACACUUGCUCUGGGGAUGAAUCUAAUAGUUUUAGGCUUUUUUUUU